rnacentral:misc_RNA from 1 species
AGUUCUCAAGCUGUGAUGCUUUUUUGUGAAGCAGCUUAGCUUGGUGUUGGGCUUUGCCGUGUCCCCUUCAUUUGGGACGGCUGGCCUUAAAGGCAUUAGCUUUGAUCCCGGGUGUGGAUUGGUUCUACUCAGCGUGAUAAUAAUCUAAUCGCUGAGGACAUCUUUUGGGAUGGCCAAUUCUCCUUGGGGUUGCUCUCUAAUCUGGAUUGCAAGAUUUCGCGAAUCUUUGCCUCCACUUCCAA